UUUCCAAAAUGGCACACAGUGACGCUUGGAAAACCUGUCUGAAACCAAGAAAGGAAUUAGAAGAGGUUCUUGAGAGAAUCAACAAAUCAACAGAAAUAAAAGACGCGCACAUUGAGUUGUCUUGCGGGUCACGUGCGGAGGAUUUAGUCAAGUUCCUUGGAGAAAACUUUAUUCCUGACGACACGUUAUGUAAAUCCGUUGGUGUUGAAUAUGAUGAAGAUGCGAGGCAGUUCUUAUUGGAAUUUUUGUCGGAUAAUCUUUCUGUUAUUUGAAUUCACAACCAAACUAAUGAAAUUAUUGCAAGCUUGGGAUUUGUCUUAGAGUAUAAUGGAAUGCCGGAAGUAAAUUUAGCCAAUAAGAAAUUUGGUCUGGCAGCGGGAUAUCUGAACUAUAAACAGGAGGACAUGAACGUAUAUAAACGGUUUAAAUGUAACAAAUCUGUAAAUCUUGCUUUCCUCUGUACCCAUAUACAGCAUAGGGGCAAAGGAUUAGCAACCACUGUAUUUAAGGCGGUUCUAGCGUUCGCUAAAGAAAUGGGAUCAACUCCUGUUUAUUUUCAUGGAGAAGGGUCUGCUCUUGCAUCUCAGAAAAUAUUUGAAAACUUUGAAUUUGAGAUAAUUCGCAGGUUUAAAAACGCAGAAUAUGAAGUUGAUGAAGAGUUUAUCUUUAAGAAUACCGGAGACGUCAAGGAACUCAAAUGCUAUGUUAAAGAAAUACACUAGCUGUAUAUAUUCAAUAGCUACAACAAUAUGAUAUACACGUAGCUUUUUAAUAUUUUAUCAAACGUUGACAAACACAUAUGGAUUGGCCCUAAUACACCAAUAAACCUAAAGAUAGUACAGCAACAUGUAUGAAACGUUGAUCAUUUAAGGGUUUUCUAUGACGUCGAUCCAUUUUGACAUUAUCCAAGUUAACUUCACCAAGGAUGUGACGGAAAUUAUUUGGGUCUAGUCAUACCUGUUCUGAGAUUGGCGAAGGAGAGUGUACCAACAACAAUGACAUCGUUAAGUUGUAUUUGUAUCUGUAUCAUGUUGUUUAAGAUACUUCUCCGAAUCAAUGGUUUGCCUUUAGAAUUUUCAAUUACACAUCCAGGCGAAAAAUUGAUAUCAACAGAAGGAGUAUCACUUUUGCACGUCAAUUUCUUACAGUUUGACGCUAGAGGUAAAAGAGAUGUGACCUUGACAUUUCAAGACGUGCAGUUCUCUGUUGUUAUUGGAGGAUGGGGUAAUACAUUAUCAGCACUGUACUUAGGAGAAUUAGUUAACCCACCGGAUGAUGAAUAUAGUGGAUCACUACUCACUUCCUCUGAGUAUAAACCGUUUUGGAUAUCUUGGAAUUCAUUUCAAGUGUACGUAGGACUGGGGAGUGUAAAAGGCAUUGGUUUAAUUUUGCAUGGAGAACCACAAUGUCCGAUUAAAGUAAUCGAUUCGACCUUUGCUUCGAAUUUCGGAGAGACUCUAGUUUACAGGAUAAAUCAUGCAGAUAUGAUUCCAGGUAAUGGCAGAUUUUGUGGUCAGAAAAAAUCGUGCAACACCGUGAACAUCCUAUCAUCGGUUGGGAGCGAGAGCAGGAUAGAAUGUGCUGUCAUUUGUAAGAUGACACAUGGAUGUGCCUUUUUCAUCUUUAACAGAAAUUUAGAGCAAUGCAAAAUAUUUGGAAAUGACGUAGGGACAGAUAUUGUAGUCUCAGAAAAGGUAUAUUGGGAAUGUUAAUCAGCGAUGUGAUGAUUUUUAAUCAAAGAACAAAGAUCACUUGUGUGUGCGUGUGUUGUUGCUUCCUUUGUUUUAUUUUAGAAGAAGGAUAACUGAGGUUUAUAACCUUAAAUUUUAUAAAAAAGCUGCUGUAUUUCACAAAGAGUAAAUAUAUCGUUCCACUUUAGAUAAAAAUGGCGAUAGCUAUAUAUUUGAGAUCCACGUGCAAUAGUCUAUCUCCCUAUACAACUAUAAUACGAGAUUUCUACUCUUUACGAGUUUUUGUCAGAACUAUACUGUUCUAACUCCAUGCUCCCAUUGGAUUAUAAUAGCUUAUUUAUCUAAUUAGUUCAGAGAAAAAUAUUUUCAUAGUGUUGUAUCUCCACUAUUUCUCAUGUAUUGUUUGCUGUUAAAUAAUUGUUAUGAAAAUGAUCUUAUUACUAUGAUUAAAUGGUUUGAACUCAAUCUAUGAGCAAUUCUUAGCAAAUCUAGUAGUACAGAAUUGGGGAUAUUACAAAGUUAAAAAAUCCAUGGUCUAUCUCUAAUGGAAAUAUAGGGAUAUUUUUCUAAAUCUACAUUGUUUGUAAUAAAAUGGGGAUGCUUGAUUUAUCUAAGUUGCAUUUCUAUUAAAAAACAAUCGAACAAGAGUUACUCUUCAUGUACGUGAAUUCGAUUCCUAUAUAACUUUUUAUGUCUGAGUCAAAUAUUUAUAAUAUUGAGCUUUUAAACUUAAUUCAAAUGUGUACCACUAUUACCAAAUGGAAAAUGCAUCAUUAUAAGAUUUACAUAACGAUAUUAUGCAUUUUAUGUUAUAUUAAAAGUUACAUAAAU